rnacentral:rRNA from 1 species
GGUGAACGCUGUCGGCGUGCUUAAGACAUGCAAGUCGAACGCAGUCUUCGGACUGAGUGGCGCACGGGUGAGUAACACGUAACUGACCUACCCCCAAGUCGCGAAUAACCAGCCGAAAGGAUGGCUAAUACGUGAUGUGAUGAUCCGCUGUGGCGGAUCAUUAAAGACUUGAUCGCUUGGGGAUGGGGUUGCGUUCCAUCAGCUAGUUGGUAAGGUAAAGGCUUACCAAGGCAACGACGGAUAGCCGGCCUGAGAGGGUGGCCGGCCACAGGGGCACUGAGACACGGGUCCCAUUCCUACGGGAGGCAGCAGUUAGGAAUCUUCCACGAUGGGCGCAAGCCUGAUGGAGCGACGCCGCGUGAGGGAUGAAGGUUCUCGGAUCGUAAACCUCUGAACCAACGACGAAAGACCCGACAAGGGAGAUGACGGUAGUUGGGUAAUAGCACCGGCUAACUCCGUGCCAGCCGCCGCAGUAACAC